AGAACCCAACAAUAUUCCGAGAAGGUGGUGGCGCCUCCAGAGAUAUUAUCGAAACCACCUGAAGAGGAGAAUGAGGAGGUUGUCUUGCAAAGAACUGUGAAGAAGCUUCACUUUGGAACCUUUGAAGAGAAGGAGAAAGCUGCCAUCGAGAUCGAGAAACUUUCCCGAGAAGACAAGAAUAUUCGGAAGCUCAUGGCGGAGCUCGGUGUUCUUCAGGUUCUUGUCUCUAUGGUCGCUUCCGAUAUCUCCGGCCACCAGAGAUCUGCCGUUAUGGCUCUUAUUCAGCUUUCUCAUGGAACCCACACGUAAGUUCUUCGACUUUUCAUAUUUACGGAGUUGACUCUCAUUCAUCAACCACGAGAUAGGAACACCAAGACGGAUCUCUUAGUUCGAGAGUGUUCAUACCAAAAUCAAGUUUAUUAAUAUCAUAGCUUCUAUUCCUGUAUGGUUCAUGCCUUUAAUUUAUUUUUAAAUCAUUUAAUAAAGUGAAUUUCUGAUAGAAAAAAAAAGUUUAGGCCGAUUUGUAGGACACAUGAAGUACAUAUAGUAAGACAUUAGUUAUGUAAUACUACAACUUACAUUAGUUCUCUUUUUUUAAUAAUACUCCCCUAAAUAUUUUACCCGCACUAAGCAUAUACCAUAUUGGCCCCCUAAAUACCUAAAGUUAGACGAACAUAUCAUAUAUAAAAGACAGAGCAAAGUCCACUAAAAGGAAUAGAUCAUUUCAUCAUCUCUCAUCUAUCUAUCUAUCUAUCAUGUCUUCCUCUCGAACACAAUCCUCUUCUUCUUCAGUUUGGCAACAUCAAUACAUGAAGCUCCACUUCUUUAGCAGGAUCCGUUCCCUUUUCAAAUCCAAAGCAUCAUCCCGCAAACGCGACUUGCAAAGCUCAACUCAGAUAUCAAGAACCCAACAAUAUUCCGAGAAGGUGGUGGCGCCUCCAGAGAUAUUAUCGAAACCACCUGAAGAUGAGAAUGAGGAGGUUGUCUUGCAAAGAACUGUGAAGAAGCUUCACUUUGGAACCUUUGAAGAGAAGGAGAAAGCUGCCAUCGAGAUCGAGAAACUUUCCCGAGAAGACAAGAAUAUUCGGAAGCUCAUGGCGGAGCUC
rnacentral:lncRNA from 1 species